UGGGGAAUUUUGGACAAUGGGGGAAACCCUGAUCCAGCCAUCCCGCGUGUGCGAUGAAGGCCUUCGGGUUGUAAAGCACUUUUGGCAGGAAAGAAACGUCAUGGGUUAAUACCCCGUGAAACUGACGGUACCUGCAGAAUAAGCACCGGCUAACUACGUGCCAGCAGCCGCGGUAAUACGUAGGGUGCAAGCGUUAAUCGGAAUUACUGGGCGUAAAGCGUGCGCAGGCGGUUCGGAAAGAAAGAUGUGAAAUCCCAGAGCUCAACUUUGGAACUGCAUUUUUAACUACCGGGCUAGAGUGUGUCAGAGGGAGGUGGAAUUCCGCGUGUAGCAAUGAAAUGCGUAGAUAUGCGGAGGAACACCGAUGGCGAAGGCAGCCUACUGGGAUAACACUGACGAUCAUGCACGAAAGCGUGGGGAGCAAACAGG
rnacentral:rRNA from 1 species